AUGAGGGGGCGGUGCGGAGAAGGGGCCCGGACGGUGGUGCUGGCGGCUCUGGUGCUGCUGCUGGCUUCCACCCGCUGGGAAGGUGCGAAGGCGCGUCCUGCGGCUUGGGGACAGCUGGGCGCUGGCAGCAGCCAGAGAGCGCGCAACGUGGUGAUGGUGAUGUGCGAUGCCUUUGAUGGAAGGCUGACAUUUUAUCCAGGAAAUCAGACCGUGAUCCUACCUUUUAUAAAUCUCAUGAAAAGAUAUGGCACUGUUUUUCUCAAUGCCUACACCAAUUCUCCAAUAUGUUGUCCUUCUCGUGCAGCUAUGUGGAGUGGCCUCUUCACUCAUUUAACAGAAUCUUGGAAUAACUUCAAAGGUUUAGAUCCAAAUUAUACAACAUGGAUGGACCUGAUGCAAAAGCAUGGCUACCACACUCAGAAAUAUGGGAAACUAGAUUAUACUUCGGGACAUCACUCAGUGAGUAACCGUGUGGAAGCUUGGACAAGGGAUGUUGAUUUCCUGCUCAGACAAGAAGGCAGACCCAUGGUGAAUCUUACUGGCAACAAGACAUUCAUGAGAGUGAUGGAAGAAGAUUGGCAGAAUACUGAUAAAGCAGCAAGUUGGAUAAGGAAAGAAGCCACUAGCUUUAAUCAACCAUUUGUUCUUUACCUGGGGUUAAAUUUACCACAUCCAUACCCAUCGCCCUCUACAGGGGAAAAUUUUGGGUCCUCUACAUUUCUAACAUCUCCCUAUUGGCUUGAAAAGGUGACAUAUGAAGCCAUUAAAAUUCCAAAAUGGCCUCCUCUUUCAGACAUGCACCCAGUAGAUUAUUAUUCUUCUUACACCAAGAAUUGCACAGGGCAGUUUACAAGGAAAGAAAUCAGAGAUAUCAGAGCAUUUUAUUAUGCUAUGUGUGCAGAGACAGAUGCCAUGCUUGGUGAGAUCAUUUCAGCUCUAAGUGAUACAGGACUUUUAAAAAGAACCAUUGUUAUAUUCACAGCAGAUCAUGGAGAACUUGCUAUGGAACAUCAGCAGUUUUAUAAAAUGAGCAUGUAUGAAGCAAGUUCCCAUGUUCCUCUUCUAGUUAUGGGGCCAAGCAUUAAAGGUCAUCACCACCUAUCAAAUGUGGUAUCUCUUGUAGAUAUUUAUCCAACUAUGCUUGUCUUAAGAUGUAAACACACAAGAAAUGUUAUGGAUCUCAGUAAUCCCUACUACUUACCUACUUGACCAUUGACUGUAAACAUCACAGUACAAGUGGGUCCUGAGGAGGGAUUUCAAGUCAAAGUCAAGCUCAACUGUGCCUAAUAGGAAGAGGCACAUCAUCAGCAUCGUUUUAGUUAGCUGCAGGAGUACUCCAGAGUUCUGGUUAACCUCUAGUGUGAGUACAGCAAGCGUUAUGGAGUAUCCAGAACAUCCACAUAUGAGAGCAUCAUGAAGAAGCAUCAUGGGCUUAACUGGAUUGGUGUGCAGCACAGGGAGCGCAUCAAGCACUUAAAGCUGGCACAGCAGAUCUUGCAACUCCCUAUCUAUAUGCCCUUUCUACAAGGAGUUUGGACCGGGUGCCACUGCCCUGAGCACAGAACCACUUGCCACUCCCUGAGCACAGAGCCCACCGUCCUUGACAUACUUCCGAAUGCAGAUCAUCUUGCUUUCAGACCAGAGGAAGGGGGUAAAAACUCUGGGGAUGGCACUGGCUGACAUCACAAUGAAAUCCCAUAAACCAACUGUGGAGCAGGAAGCCCAGGAUCAGUCCAUGUGGCCGGAUGGGUGAGUGGGUGUCCUGGGUGAAUUUUCAGAGGAUCUGUUCUGAGAUGGACCCAGAGAACUGUCCGGAGAGGAAGCAAUGCAGGACCAGGAAUUGGAUCCAUAGUCUGGUAAGUGCAACCCAUCAUCUUUAUUACCAUGUGGGAAAUUGUAGCAUAAGAGUGGGAUUUCAGGAUUAUGACCAAUAAAAUCAUUGUUAUGGAGGAUAUUACAUGGGAUGGGUUUAUCUUUGGGUAAGGGCAAAAGCCACCCUGCUUUCUCCGCAUCAUGUGUGAUCUAAAGUGAUUUUAAGUAUUGCCCAGGGCAGGAGGGUGAUUUAAACAUAUCUAGUGAUUCUUAACUAUUUUUUUAAAAAUAGCAGCAAAUUAUGAACAGCAACAGACUUAGCAAGCAUGAUUACAUCUCUUUCAAUAUACCACUGUCUGCAACUCAAUCACCCCAGUAGCAUUAAAGCAUUGUCCCAGACAAUAUGGAUUAUAAAUCCCACUGGCUGCAUUAAGUAGUUAAGUCCCUUGUGGACUUCAGUGCUUGGCCGUCUGGUUCUGUCCAUUCACAGCACGCUGUCUGGGCUGGGGUUGGGAGUGAAAAUCAGUUCUGCUCUUCAGAACUCUCUGCAUCCUACUUCAGCCUCCUGAUAACAUUUGCCUGAAUUUUCUCCCACUUCUGGAAGAUGCUUGAAAGUUUUUCAUAAAGGAGAAAUUCAAGCGGGUUUGUAAAAUUCCUGGAUAGGCAAACUUCCAGUGGCUGCCUACAUAACCAACCAACCCUCUCCAUGCUUUGAUCUGUUGUUCAAUCACCAGGCAACCACAAAAAUCUCCCUUGCUUAGAUAGGUAGAUUUCUGCAUGCAGCCUGCAAAAUUUGUUUGUCCUUCCAAAUAAUAAUAUCCUCCAAGGCUUCCCUGGCCUGAAAUAAUAUUGAAACUACUACUGGUAACAGAGCCCUAACCCCACAACCACCUCCUGACAUUUUUUGUAAAGUAAUAGUUAAAUCUGAAAAUCUUACCAUGGUUUGUCUUUUGUCUGGGAAUGUUGCUAGAAGAAGCUUCUGAAUACAUUAGUGUAUGAAGAUGAUGAAAUAAAAGCAUACCAGGUUGAAAAAAAGUUUCAAACCUUGGCCUCAUUUUGAUGCAAAACAUAAAGUGGGAAGGAUUCUUUCCUUUCUCCAAGCCCUCUGCCUCCCUUGAAAAAAGUAAUAAGCUCUUUCAUUUUCUUGACAGGCAUUUCCACUUCAGCUGUACCAACAUUACCACACUGGACUCUUGGGGACAGAACCCUUAACCAGCAUGGGAAGAGACCAGUGCUUGCAAACUCUUCUCUGUGGUACCACAUCUUGCAGCAAGUGCAGCGACUGGCAAACUCAAACUGACCAACCAGUGAAUAGCUCUAUGAAUUGGAAUGGGCAGAUGUACUCUAUGUAUUCCAGCCCUUUACAGUGCAGUCGCCAUGUUUGGCCAGGGAGAAG